GAGAUAGAGAAGUAAGAAGAAGAAGAAAAAAAAAGGGAAAGAGAAGGAAUUCUUGAAGAAGAUAUGGGGGUGUGUGUGUUUUUACUGGGCAUUCCAAGCUCAUGGCGUGUCAUGCCAGGUGAAGAAGCAGCUUACGACGGGGAAGGUGAUCCCGAAGACAAUCAAGAUGAAGUUUUAGAGCCGUGGUUCACUUGAAAACUUGGACUAGUAGUUUGUUUUUGUGUUCUCUCUUGUUUUACCUUUUGGUUUGACAAUGUUUGUAAACCUCUAGUGGAACUCAAAUCAGUUAUCUAUGUUAUAACUCUGCUUGUAUGUGUAUAUUAACAUAUUGUGGUUAUCUCUUUUGUUUGAGUUGUACUUUAUAUA